GCCAAGAAUGACCAUCAGUAGUUGUUCCCUUAGUCGCUUCUUUUUGUUGUAAUGAGCUUGUAAGUGUUUGGCAAAUAUUACUCUUUUGAAAGGAGAAACCUGAAAAAUAUUAUCUAUUGACUAAUUUCUUCCGUUUUCUAAAUGCUAUAAACAUUUUAUGUGAAACAAACAGUGCCUCAGUGAUGUUUCUUAUUUGGUUGGAUUUUCCACAGUAAUUAAUAUGUUUUCUUGAGAUCUAUAAUGAGUACCACAAGGCUCUUAUCAGUCCUUGCAAUAAUUGUCCAUCAUGGGUUAUUUCAUUUCACUCUUUUGUUUUAUCUAAUCA
rnacentral:misc_RNA from 1 species